UCAAGCUACAAAGAGCGUAAGGGGAAUGCCUUGGCACCAGGAGCCGACGAAGGACGCAGCGAUCUGCGAAAAGCCACGGGGAGCCGAAAGCAGGCUUUGAUCCGUGGAUAUCCGAAUGGGGAAACCCGCAUGGUUAAUAGCCAUGCGACGUAUACUGAAUAAAUAGGUAUGCGUCGGGAACCGUCUGAACUGAAACAUCUAAGUAGGACGAGGAAAAGAAAUCAACCGAGAUUCCGUAAGUAGUGGCGAGCGAACACGGAAGAGGCCAAACCGAAGGUAGCAAUAUCUUCGGGGUACGGACAGUAAACGGCAUUGCGGUAUCUUAGCAGAAGUGCAUGGGACGGCACACCAUAGAGAGUGAUAGUCUCGUAAGCGAAAAGAGAAGGCAGCCAACUGUAUCCAGAGUACCGCCGGACACGUGAAACCCGGUGGGAACAUGGGGGGACCAUCCUCCAAGCCUAAAUACUCCCUGGUGACCGAUAGAGAACAGUACUGUGAAGGAAAGGUGAAAAGAACCCCGGGAGGGGAGUGAAAAGAACCUGAAACCUUAUGCUUACAAGCACCGAGAGCCCAUCAAAGGGUGAUCGGGUACCUUUUGUAGAAUGGUCCGGCGAGUGAAUGUAACUGGCAAGGUUAAGCACUUAAGGUGUGGAGCCGAAGCGAAAGCAAGUCUUAAUAGGGCGUCAAGUCAGUUGUAUUCGACCCGAAACCGUGUGACCUAGCCAUGAGCAGGCUGAAGUGGAGGUAAAACUCCAUGGAGGGCCGAACCCACUCCCGUUGAAAUGGUAGGGGAUGACUUGUGGCUAGCGGAGAAAUUCCAAUCGAACUCGGAGAUAGCUGGUUCUCUCCGAAAUAGCUUUAGGGCUAGCCUCGAUUUAACAUUACCGGAGGUAAAGCACUGAAUGGGCUAGGGGCCGAGAGGUUACUGAACCCUAUCAAACUAAGAAUGCCGGAUAAUGAUAAUCGGGAGUCAGACAGUGUGAGAUAAGUUUCAUUGUCAAAAGGGAAACAGCCCAGACCCACAGCUAAGGUCCCAAAGUACAGUUAAGUGGUGAAGGAUGUGGAAUUGCAUAGACAACCAGGAUGUUGGCUUAGAAGCAGCCACUCAUUAAAAGAGUGCGUAAUAGCUCACUGGUCGAGUGAUUCUGCGCCGAAAAUUUAACGGGGCUAAAUUGUACACCGAAGCUUGGGAUACAUCUAAUGUAUGGUAGGAGAGCGUUGUAUACGGGGUGAAGUCAGAGCGGAAGCGCUGGUGGACUGUAUACAAGUGAGAAUGCCGGAAUGAGUAGCGAGAAUUAUGUGAGAAUCAUAAUGGCCGAAAGACUAAGGUUUUAGAAGGAAGGUUCGUCCGCUUCUAGUCAGCCGGGAGCUAAGGCGAGGCCGAAAGGCGUAGUCGAUGCACAUACGGUGGAGAUUCCGUAGCCGCCAUUAAUUUAAACAGAGGGACACUUUCAAGGGGCAUGACCCGGGCGUUGGUAGACCCGGGCGUAAGGGACCGAAGAUUAGUAGGGAAGCAUGCUUUAAGGAAGGCGAGAAAAGCUCUGUGUAUAGAAGAUGGCGCCCGUACCGCAAACCGACACAGGUAGUCAGGAAGAGAAUUCUAAGGCCAACGGGAGAAGGGUAGUUAAGGAACUCGGCAAAUUGACCCCGUAACUUCGGAAUAAGGGGUGCUCACGAGAGUGAGCCGCAGUGAAUAGGUCCAGGCGACUGUUUAUCAAAAACACAGCUCUCUGCUAAAUCGAAAGAUGACGUAUAGGGGGUGACACCUGCCCGGUGCUGGAAGGUUAAGAGGAAGGGUGCAAGCUCUGAAUUGAAGCCCCAGUAAACGGCGGCCGUAACUAUAACGGUCCUAAGGUAGCGAAAUUCCUUGUCGGGUAAGUUCCGACCCGCACGAAUGGUGUAACGAUCUGGACACUGUCUCAACUACCCACCCGGCGAAAUUGUAGUACCGGUGAAGAUGCCGGUUACCCGCGGCAAGACGGAAAGACCCCAUGGAGCUUUACUGUAGCCUGAUAUUGGGUUUCGGUAUUCUAUGUACAGGAUAGGCGGGAGACUGAGAACCGAUGGCGUCAGCUGUCGGGGAGUCAACCUUGGGAUAC
rnacentral:rRNA from 1 species